AUUGAACGCUAGCGGGAUGCCUUACACAUGCAAGUCGAACGGAGUGGCGAACGGGUGAGUGGUGUAACGGACCGUGCCCAGUAGCGGGGGAUAACUACGCGAAAGGGUAGCUAAUACCGCAUACUAUUGGAGCGGCCGAUAUCGGAAUAGCUAGUUGGUGGGGUAACGGCUAACCAAGACGACGAUCCGUAGCCGGUUUGAGAGGACGACCAGCCACACUGGGACUGAGACACGGCCCAGACUCCUACGGGAGGCAGCAGUGGGGAAUAUUGGACAAUGGGGGCAACCCUGAUCCAGCCAUCCCGCGUGUGCGAUGAAGGCCUUCGGGUUGUAAAGCACUUUUGGCAGGAAAGCGGUACCUGCAGAAGAAGCACCGGCUAACUACGUGCCAGCAGCCGCGGUAAUUC
rnacentral:rRNA from 1 species